GAUGAAGAACGUAGUGAAAUGCGAUAAGUAAUGUGAAUUGCAGAAUUCAGUGAAUCAUCGAAUCUUUGAACGCACAUUGCGCCCGCCGGUAUUCCGGCGGGCAUGCCUGUCCGAGCGUCAUUUCACCACUCAAGCCCGGCUUGGUGUUGGGGCGCCCGGCCGCCUGGCGGUCGGGGCCCCCAAGUACAUCGGCGGCCCUGCUGGGGCUCCGAGCGCAGUAACUCGCGGUAAAACGCGCCCUCGCUCGGCGGCCUCUUCGGGCUUCCAGCCGCUAAACCCCCAGUGACGUUUUUCGAGUUGACCUCGGAUCAGGUAGGAAUACCCGCUGAACUUAAGCAUAUCAAUAAGCGGAGGA
rnacentral:misc_RNA from 1 species